GACGUAGGGCGCGAGCGUUGUCCGGAUUUAUUGGGCGUAAAGAGCUCGUAGGCGGCUUGUCGCGUCGUUCGUGAAAACCCGGGGCUCAACUCCGGGCUUGCGGGCGAUACGGGCAGGCUAGAGUUCGGUAGGGGAGACUGGAAUUCCUGGUGUAGCGGUGAAAUGCGCAGAUAUCAGGAGGAACACCGGUGGCGAAGGCGGCACUCUGGGCCGGUACUGACGCUGAGGAGCGAAAGCGUGGGGAGCGAACAGG
rnacentral:rRNA from 1 species